rnacentral:misc_RNA from 1 species
CCGAGUUUACAACUCCCAAACCCCUGUGAACAUACCACUUGUUGCCUUCGGCGGAUCAGCCCGCCUCCCGGUAAAAACGGGGACCGGCCCGCCAGGAGCAGGGACCCCUAAACUCUGUUUCUAUAUUAACUUCUGAGUAAAACCAUAAAUAAAUCA